rnacentral:ncRNA from 1 species
UCUUCAUCAACCGGAAGAGGUUUUACUUAGCUGUAGAUUAAUAGGGAAUCGUGUGCAAAUCACGAGCUGUCGCGCAACUGUAAGUAACACAACAAGUUUUUACCCAGGCAUAUCCACUGUUCCAACACAGGAAUGGGAAGGAUGGUAAAAAUGUUACAAGUCAGGAGACCUGCCUUUACCGAAUUGACAAU